GGCCGCCUGACCGAAGCCGCCGACCACCGCAGAUCCGGCGCCACCGCCGACCGAAGCCGCCGCCGCCGUCCACCUCGCCGCCGGCCGUCGUCCGUCGUCGUUUGUCGUAUCGGUGAGCACCUUUGAGUUCGCAAUGUUGUCCUCUACGCGUAGGUGUCCUCCAAAAGUCCGGCCGACCACCCUAGCUCCGGCGAGGUCGCCACCCGUGCCGUGGCUGCCGUCGAUGACGUCAUCAUCUCCUCUUUUUCAGUUUUUUUUAAUAGAUUAAAUCUUCGGAAAAUUCAUAACUAAAUCAUCGUAACUCGGUUUUGAGUGGUUCAAGUUGCUAAAUUCAUCUAAAAUCAUGAUCUACAUGUUUGUUUACUUUAUAUGUACUGUUUAUGCUUGUUUUUUACUGUUUAUUUGGUUUUUAUUAGUUUUUUUCUUCGUUUUGCGUGUUAGCUUGUCGUUUCCGUCGUUGCGAAGGUUCGUGAGUGCGUCGGGAGUGUUCAGAAGAUUAAUUGAAGACCGAUUAUUGCAAGGCAAGUUACACAGAUCCUAAACAUAAUCCUUUGAGUAUGUUGAUCCUAUAUUUAAAUUCUCUAUUUAUUUCAACUGCGCAUUUAUUUUCGAAUGUCACCGGGUGGUGUGAACCUACUCCUUUGUUAUGGCCAAUCUGCAUUGAAUGCCCUAUUCCUUGAUACCUUGGGUAAUAAAUUGAUUAGCUUGAACCUUAUGUAUUGGUUUGGUUCAGCUAAAUGUUAUAUAUAUAAUUGCUUAGCCAUGCUUAGAAACAUUAGCUCACUAAUGGGAUAAAUCAUAUAUACUACAUUAUUAUUUAUGGUUAUAUUUAAUGGUAGCUCACGAUGGUUAAUCGUGUUAUGAUAAUUAAUUGGUAAUUAAAAUAUGACAAUUAAGGUUGUGAGCAUAUGGUUUUGAAGGUCGUGCUCAUGGCAAUUAAGGACCGGUUCGCGAGCUACUGUUGUGAAACAUUAACCGUGCCAACCACAAGCCAGCGUGGGCAACGGCUUUACCUUUUGUAUAGCAUGGCUUAUUGCGGAGCACCAGACUGAGAAGUGGCGGAGAUAAGCCCACGGGGGUCGCUGGGGAGUCCAUGCCUUAUUUUAUAAGGGGGUGAUUAUGAUCCAGGAAUGGUGCACUGUGGUGAGUUGUGUUGUGCAGAGGGUAUUGUCACAGCCUCUAUUCGGGUACUUUCCAGUAUCGCGACGCAUGGUAGACAUGAUGUUGAGGCUGUGUCUUGUGGGCACAGUGGUACACCUCUGGCCAGAGUAAAACUAUUCGAAUAGCCGUGCCCGCGGUUAUGGGCAAGUUGAGCAAUGUUUUUCGUGAUUAGUCUCACGCCUCUCACAAUAAUUAUUGAUGCUAUAACUGGUAAUAAUUUGUUUAGCUCCUGGUUUGGAGUUAGAUCUAUACAGCCGGGUAUGGUUGUUCAGGAUGGUUGGGCCUGUGCAGCAUGGGUGUGCUGUUCAGUGUUGAUUAAAAUUUCUGAUUAAUUACUCUACUGUUUUACUACUCUUAACUCUUUGCUAAAUGCUGCUUUCGCAAAUGAGACUAUAUUAUGCCAUCCUUUGGUAUCCUUGUGCACUUGCAUAUUUGCUGUGUGGCUUGUUGAGUAUGUCAUAUGCUCAUUCUUGCAAUAAUCAAUCAACCUCAGUUGAAGAAAAAGGAUCCAGAAGGAGAAGACGUUUGGCUUAUACCCCAGUUGAGUUGCUUGUGGGAGUGGAGCUGAAGCCAUCGCUAGACCGUUAAUUCCGCUGCUGUUUUUCU
rnacentral:lncRNA from 1 species